AUACAGGACAAUGGUCGAAAGCGUGAUCCAGCUAUGCCGCGUGUGUGAAUCAGGUCUUCGGAUUGUAAAGCACUGUAAGGUAAGAGGAAGGGCAGCAAGUUAAUGGUUUGCUGUUUUUCCAUCACCGACAGAUUAAGCUCUGGUAAACUUCGUGACAGCAGCCGCGGUAGUACGAAGGGUGCAAGCGUUACUCGGAAUUACUGGGCAUAAAGCGCGCUUAGGUGGUUUGUUAAGUUGGAAGUGAAAGCCCCGGGCUCAACCUGGGAACUGCUUUCAAAACUGGCAAGCUAGAGUAUGACAGAAGGUGUUGGAAUUUCCUGUGUAGCGGUGAAAUGCGUAGAUAUAGGAAGGAACACCAGUGGCGAAGGCGACCACCUGGGCUAAUACUGACACUGAGGUGCGAAAGCGUGGGGAGCAAAC
rnacentral:rRNA from 1 species